AAGGGGGUCAACGGGUCAAAAAUAAUCAUUUUUCAUUAAAAAAAUCGAUUUUUCAAAAGUUGCAUAUUAUGUUAGAAUAAUAUCUUAUAAAUGGUAUAGUUUAGCUAAAAUCAUUAAAAUAAAGGUAUUUUAAUGUAAAAAAUGAGUUUGAAAGGGGUAGGGGUAAGCUAAUUUUGCUCUAAAUGUUGAAAAAAUCGCCGUUUUACGAUGCCGAUUACCGCGUAGCCCGCCGUAAAAGUGGGUCAUGUUUGGUGUCUUUGAAAAGCCUACGGUCAGCUCUACAAGUCCAUUUCAAUGACUCAUUCAUCUAAAAAUAACCUUAGCCUUGAAACUAGUUCAAACUAGACCACUACACGUGUCUCUAUUCAAAUCCGAUUGGAUCAUGAUGUAUAUUUAUGAAAUAAACGCUUUUGAUUGGUUCCUUCCGGCCAUGUGGUUCCGAUGUUUACAGCAACAAUGAUGGCGUCCGUGAAUCGAUAGGAGACCCUUUUGGAUAUUGUAUGCUUUCUUUGCCAUUAUUAUUUACGUCUCAGGUUCUCCUGACUUCAAUCAGAAGUAAUGAUCUACCUAAUCUGUUACAAGGAUAUAGACAUAGAUCUACACACAUUGGGAAUUGUAGAUCAAAACAACACAUAUGCAGUACACUGACCCUUCCUCUUGUUGGAAGAAAACGUCACCACAUACUAGUACCUCGUCAGCCAUCUACCCAGUCUGAAAGCUGCCUUAAUACUGCAGUAUGACAUAGAAGUACUUCAUAAUCAAACACCACAUCACAUGCUGCUUAUCACAUAUAUAGCAAUAAUUUACACUUUAUAGACCUGGAUCUAUAUCAUGCUAACAACCUGGGAUUCUUUUCUCGUUGGAUGCUGUCAUUGACCACCACCUCCAGCUACAAAGACUCUUACAUCAUUAUAAAGUUCUACCUAACCUAUUUCAUUACAAGAUUCAUCAUCAAGCACUGCAUGGUUCCUGGUGAACCAAUUUAUCAUCAGCUACUGUUUCAACAUAAAUAAGGACCAGAGUUUUUCUGUCGUUGUAGCUGUACACAUGCAAUGAGCUUCAGUCUCGCCAUGUCACAUUAUAUCAGCAUUUCUUACCAUCUAUAACAUUUAUACUGCACAACAUACAUAUGUGCAUUAUCAGCUCAAUGGCUAUAUAUAAAAAGCCAUAUCAUAUUACAAUGAAGGACUAUCUACUAUAAAGGCACAGCACUCCACAAUUAUUCAGCCACCUAAAACAUACAAGUUGCAUUUAUUUUCAAAUACUGGUGCCAUUCUUUACUGGAUUUAUUAUUGUGUGUACUCUAUCAAACCACUAGUAUGAGUACAAAUAACAUUAGGUGCUUAUGAAAAAAAAUGCAGGCCUGAAACCUGAGAAAGACUAGAUUCCAAAUUAUUUGAACUGGUGUAGGUAAUUUUUUUUUUUUUACUUUGAAAAACUUCUUGUGUAUAAACCACAUUCAUAUAACAGCAUUAAUUAUCUUUUAACUAUUUAUUUACUUAUUAUUUGCAUGUAUUUAUAAUUAAGGGAUACUUUAUCUUAAUUUUUAGUUGUUUUGGGGCUUACAUUAAUGUCUCAAAAGUAAAAAUUGGACUUAUUAUGUCUUCGGGUGAAAUUUUUAUUUUUUUGCGCCGAGGGGGG